CUGCGGAAUGUGUCCCCCUGUACACACGCAGGUGACAUCCACUGCUGCCACGCAAGCGCAAGCGGAAGUGUCGGGAUCGGCAGCCCCAUGAAAAGCAGCAAAGGAGCUCCAGAGUGAGAAACCUGAUCUCUCUGGCUCGGGAGGUGGGCGGACUCUGAAACGAAGCCUCGAGUUUUCAGCAGUCCCAGCUGUUGGCUUCGGAUACACACAUCGUGGUGGAAAGUGUUCUUGCUGUCUGCACAUGCUCAGCAACACCUUCGUUAUGGUUGCUUCGAAAACUUACAAGAGCCGAGCAGCACUACGAUAGUAGGACUAACGUCUGAAGAGUUCGGGAAUCCUAAAUGCUCAAGCUCCGCCUCCAAUAUGACGUCAAUGGCAGCCCAGACAGCCAUUGGAACUCCUCCUCUUCGUAGGAGGUGGUGCGGAACUAAGCUUUCGGAGUUCAGGGAUCAUGAUGGGAGUGUGCGCAUGCGCUAUACACGAACAUGGCGGAAUUGGAGAUCGGAAAGCACUGCGACGUGAAGAACUGUCGACAACUUGGUAAGAGCUCUCAUUUAGAAGGCACAGCCUAUGAGACCUGACGGUGUGGGAGUGUAGAAUAAAUAUAUUGCAAAGGCUUGAACUACUGGUUGGGAAAAGGUGUUGAGGGGAGAAGCUUCGACUGUUCACAACUUCUUGCGGUUGUCCGUCGAGCAUGGAGCAUUAGAGUGGCUCCUGCCUUUUGCUUUCUGUUUAUUCCCCUCAAUAUUCAGAAAGAAACCGGAAGUGUAGAGAAAGGUCUUCUGUAGCACUUUCUGCCACUACGAAUGCCGCCUCCUGGUGCGUGUUACGAGGAGGAGAUGUUUGACAAUCAACAAACGGAAGGGCGCGGCUCUCCCUAGGAGUGGGCGUGGACUGUGUUUCCCCAGCCUCGUUGCCGGCUAACCAGCGUAGCUUGUCAAGGACGCUGUUAUCACUGAAGGCAAAAGGGCAUGCAAGCGAGUAGCUAAUUGGUUUAAAUAAUAAUAAAAAAGCUCUUGUCUGCCUGAUGAGAUGACUGUAUUUGCAGCUAGGAGAGUAGGAUUAUAUAUUUCCAAUAUGUUUAUCCUGCUUUUCCACGAAAUGGGCUCAAAGGAUAGUUUAUGUUCAGUGCGGUGCACUUUAAUCGAGAGAAGCGAUGUUUUCGCUUAACGCUACUUUUCAUUGUAAUUGCAUUUUAGCGAUUUUAAUAAUAAUUACCUUUAUCCUUUAAAUUCACUAUCUGGGUUGUGGUGCUCCAUUCUGCCACACAGCUUACUGGGUGAUUUUGGAGUAGGCACUGACCUGAACAGCGGUAGUGUUGUUAUGAGGACAAAGUGGAACAGAUAAUAAGUUAACCACCUUGGAUACGUUGUAGGCAAAAAGGUGGGAUAUGAAUAUAUAAUAUCUAAAAUAGUUGUUGCUGGCCAUCUGUGGAAAGGAGCACUUAAUCUAGAUAUAAAAUUAAUUAAAACAGUGACACUAAUAUGAGUAAAAGUUAUUGAAACCCAGCAGUUGAACCACUGCAGCACCAGCAGAAAGUCUGUCAUUAAAUGAAAGCUCAACAGAAUACAUUUAGUAUUCUGUUUUAUUCUUAGUUUUAUGUUAAAGCAGCAGCAACUUUGAAAAAGAGAGAUGUGGCACUCAAGCCAGCCUGGUAGUCCUGCUGUGUGUGCUGGAGUUGUUGCUGUUUAAUCCUGUCAUUGUUUAUCAGGGUGGCAAAAGCAUUGCACGCACGCCCAAGCACUCUGCUACGUAAUUCACAUUGUAAGACUUAGCCUUGGUACUGAUAACUUUUUUAAAUAAAUAAUAUAGAUAAUAUUUUUGUCAGUCUUACUAUAGAUAUUAUCUCUUUCAUUUUAGAUUUUUUACCUUUUGUCUGUGAUGGCUGUUCAGGAGUCUUUUGGUAAGAAACUACUUAUUACUUAUGUAAUGCCAUCAGUUUUCUUAAUAGAAACCUAAGUGUGAAAUAAAAUAUACCUGUUUCUUGAAAAUAAUAUAUUACAUUGGUACAAUAUACGAUGGACUGUACCAAAUUCAUUACAUUGCUUUCCACAAUAAUUCUGGUUUUGUUAUUUCACACACUAAUGAUAUGUGCUGUC
rnacentral:lncRNA from 1 species